rnacentral:rRNA from 1 species
UUUUAUCAGAGAGUUUGAUCCUGGCUCAGGAUGAACGCUGGCGGCGUGCUUAACACAUGCAAGUCGAACGGGAAACCUUUUAUUGAAGCUUCGGCAGAUUUAGAUUGUUUCUAGUGGCGGACGGGUGAGUAACGCGUGGGUAACCUGCCUUGUACAGGGGGAUAACAGUCAGAAAUGACUGCUAAUACCGCAUAAGCGCACAGAGCUGCAUGGCUCCGUGUGAAAAACUCCGGUGGUAUAAGAUGGACCCGCGUUGGAUUAGCUAGUUGGUG